UACGGAGGGUGCUAGCGUUGUGCGGAAUUACUGGGCGUAAAGGGCGCGUAGGCGGCCGUUUGCGUCGGAUGUGAAAGCCCGGGGCUCAACCUCGGAACGGCAUUCGAUACGGGACGGCUGGAGACCGGGAGAGGAGAGUGGAAUAGCCAGUGUAGAGGUGAAAUUCGUAGAUAUUGGCUGGAACACCGGUGGCGAAAGCGGCUCUCUGGCCCGGUUCUGACGCUGAGGUGCGAAAGCGUGGGGAGCAAACAGG
rnacentral:rRNA from 1 species